GUCCAGGUAGCGGCGGACCACAGCCAGAAGCCUGCGAAGGCGAUUAUGACAGCCGGCCACAUGCGGGUUACGAGGCCCAUGAGACCGGCUGU
rnacentral:sRNA from 1 species